UACGUAGGGUGCAAGCGUUGUCCGGAAUUAUUGGGCGUAAAGAGCUCGUAGGCGGUCUGUCGCGUCGGCUGUGAAAACCCGAGGCUCAACCUCGGGCCUGCAGUCGAUACGGGCAAACUAGAGUGUUGCAGGGGAGACUGGAAUUCCUGGUGUAGCGGUGAAAUGCGCAGAUAUCAGGAGGAACACCGGUGGCGAAGGCGGGUCUCUGGGCAACAACUGACGCUGAGGAGCGAAAGCGUGGGGAGCGAACAGG
rnacentral:rRNA from 3 species